CAAAAGCGUAUAUUAAAGUUGUUGCAGUUAAAAAGCUCGUAGUUGAACCUUGGGCUUGGCUGGCCGGUCCAUCUUUUUUGAUGCGUACUGGACCCAGCCGAGCCUUUCCUUCUGGCUAGCCUUUUGGCGAAACAGGACUUUUACUUUGAAAAAAUUAGAGUGUUCAAAGCAGGCCUUUGCUCGAAUAUAUUAGCAUGGAAUAAUAGAAUAGGACGUUAUGGUUCUAUUUUGUUGGUUUCUAGGACCAUCGUAAUGAUUAAUAGGGACGGUCGGGGGUAUCAGUAUUCAGUUGUCAGAGGUGAAAUUCUUGGAUUUACUGAAGACUAACUACUGCGAAAGCAUUUACCAAGGACGUUUUCAUUAA
rnacentral:rRNA from 1 species